GUAACUGACUUUGCCAUUCAUUCAUGGGUUUCUUGUUGAGCCUAAAGGGAGUUUGGUUGUAAAUUUGAUUCUCCCUUUUCUCAGUUCCCUAAGCUCUCACUGUAGCACAUGUUUUGAGUUUAAGUAGGGCUUACCUUUCUUACUUUAAGAAAUGAACUUCUGUUUGUUUUAUAGGCGGGUGAACUCCACCCUGGAAAGACCUCUGUUGGUGAGCUAUAGGUGCCUGACUGGUCCAGGAAAUUCAAAUUAUUAGGAUGUGGUGAAUUCUCUGUCUUUGAUACUUUGGGAACAUGGGUUAGAAACUGCUCAGUAAAUAUUCUUAAGAAAAUGGUACUUUUGAGACCCCUGUCACCUUUUAUUUCAGUAUAUCUUCAUUUGGGAAGUUUUCGGUUUACAGAAGAAUUGAAUGGAAAGUACCGAAAGUUCCCAUAUGCCCUCUUCCCCUUCUCCCACCCACCAUUUCCAGUUUCCCCUAUUAUUAACAUCUUGCAUUAGUAUGGUACGUUUGUUACAACUGAUGGAAAAUAUUGAUAUAUUAUCAUGAACUAAAGUCUAUAGUUUACAUUAGGGUUCAUUUGUUGUGUUUUAAAUACUUGUAUGAUGACAUGUAUUUAUCAUGACGUAUCAUACAGAAUAGUUUCAUUGUCCGAAACCUUCCUUGUGCUCUGCCUAAUUCACCUUCCCUCCAUCCCCACAAACUCCUGGCAAUGACUGGUGUUUUUACUGUCUGAAGUUGUGCCUUUUCUAAAAUGUCGUGUAGUUGGAAUCAUAUAGUAUGUAGCCUUUGCAGAUUGUCUUCUUUCACUUAGCAGUAUGCAUUUAGGAUUCCUCCAUAUCUUUUAUGGCUUGAUAGCUCAUUUGUUUUUAAUGCUGAAUAAUAUUCUGUUGUCUGGAUGUACUACAGUUUAUUUAUCACUUCACCUAUUGAAGGACAUCUUGGUUGCUUCCAAAUUGUGGCAAUUAUGAGCAAGGCUGCUAUAAACAUCUGUAUGCAGGGUUUUGUGUGGACAUAAGUUUUCAAUUUAUUUGGGUAGAUACCAAGUAGCAUGAUUGCUGGAUUAUAUGGGAAGAGUGCAUUUAGUUUUGUAAGCAACUACCAAACUGUCUUCCAGAGUGGCUGUACCGUUUCACAUUCCCACACUUACCAAUUUCUGAGCACCUACCCUGUGCCAAAUGACCCUAUGUUGGGCAACAGAGUAGUGAACCAGGGCACACGAUGUUAUUCUAGAAAGAGUUAAGAUACCGUGAACUUGUCCAAGUUACAGACACACUAAAAUUAGGGAGUAGUUUGCUGUUUAGAAUUUAUGCUUUAUAGUACAGAUCACAUAAUUAUGCUUGAUGAGAAAUGGAUAAAAUAAUAAAAAUUUAAAUUACUGUAAAAGAUUGUAUUUAUUCUAGUGAUUAGGUAGUUCUGUGGAAUUAUUCUGCUGGACAUGUAGACAUUGAGUUCUGGUACCAACUCUCUAGAUUCACAUGGGGGAAAUAAAAAACUAUUGGAACAAAACUUGUCUUUGUACCUUGGGAAUUAGUGAUUUUUGUGGGUUUUUAAACUUGCUCAGUAUAAUUAUUACUUUACAAAUGUAAUUAUGAGGUAAAUAAUUUUUAUGUUACAGAAAAAAGGCACGGCACAAAUACAACAUUACACACACACACACACACACACACACACACCCCUUUGACAUACUUUGGAGCUCUGCCUGAGAGUUGGACAGUUGCCCUGGGGUGGCAGCCUGAUUCACUCACCUCUGCUCCGCUUGGGCUCUGCCUCUAAUGGACCUGAAUGGAGAAUGAUCGUCUAACCAACAAUGGUGAUAGGCUCUCAAUCUUCAUCAGCACAACCACAGGAGACCUGGAAGCUUCUACAAAUAUUCUCACAUGCCAGCUGAAUUUAGAAGACUUUUGACUCAGAAUAAG
rnacentral:lncRNA from 1 species